CUCAAUUCUCGGUAUUUUCCUUCAUUGAUGGUUGCUGGCGGUGACCAGAUCAACUAUCGCUAGAUGAUAUGAAGUAAAUAAUGUCCAUCACACCAAGGAGCACAUUCCUUGUCGUAAGAUGAUGUCAUUCAGUCUCAAAAGGGCCGGUGCCACGUAUCAAAGGUCAAGGGUGACUUUGUUUCAUGAUAUGAUUCAUCGUGAAAGCGAAUGCCAUGUUGAUGACAUGAUG
rnacentral:lncRNA from 1 species